AGCACACUCAGCAAAAAUUCUCAUUGAGACAUACUCAGAACAGCAUUAGCCAGCUCCUGUGCUCAUGGAAAACUAUCACUAGAAUGGAGCAGGGAGAGCCACUGCAGGGCUGACUGGAGGUUUGCUGGUACAAGUGCUGCUGCAGUUAAUGCAGAGACACUGCUGCAGAUUGCCAGCUAUGGUUGGAAAGCAGUUGAGGUAGCAGAGGAGAGAAGAAUCCUACCCAUAUGGGGAGGUAAAAUCUGA
rnacentral:lncRNA from 14 species